UUUUCUUUACUGCCAUGUUUUGAUCUGUCACAGAAAACCUGAUGAAAACUUUAUGGACUGAAAUCUGAUACCUUCCUGCUGUAAACAGGAUGACAUAGAGAGGAGGUGAAAUGAAAACACCUUUCAGGUUCAUCUUUUGAAGUGAAGUUCAGUCAGCAAAGCGGAGGCGUCUCACCAGGAUGCUGCAGAGGCAGCGGCCCAGUUUCUGAACUCCAUUGCCCUGCUGGGAUUUAACGUGUGGAACCAGAGGAACUCGUAGUCACGGCAACAACAAAAGCAUUCACUGUGACAGCACACAGAUGGAAUAUGUAAUCUGAUAACCAGGAAGUGAUGAAGAUGAGAAAGUAUUUCCAGAGCAGCAUCAAAGAAGAUCUGAGCCAAGCGUUCCCACGGAUACGACCCGGAGAAUGACCCCCGCUCUCUGUCGUAAUGCGUUGCUGGACGUAGCAAGCUGAGCUACACUCAACUAAGACUUGGUCAUCUGACUAUAAAUAACGGUGGAUGAAAGUGCAGAGAGGAUCUGUUGAAGGCCUGCUGUCAGACCCCUCCUCUGAUUUAGUACCUGCAAACUUUAUUCCUGUUCAGAUAUGAUCUUUAUAGAUUUUUUUUUUUUUUCAUUUCAUUACAGCUUGGUUUUGUGAAACGUCUUUUUAAUAAAAGCACAACCCAG